GACGUAGGGGGCCAGCGUUGUUCGGAAUUACUGGGUGUAAAGGGUUCGUAGGCGGUGUGGCAAGUCGGGAGUGAAAUCUCUGGGCUCAACCCAGAGUCUGCUUCCGAAACUGCUGUGCUUGAGUGUGGGAGAGGUGAGUGGAAUUCCCAGUGUAGCGGUGAAAUGCGUAGAUAUUGGGAGGAACACCAGUGGCGAAGGCGGCUCACUGGACCGGAACUGACGCUGAGGCGCGAAAGCGUGGGGAGCAAACAGG
rnacentral:rRNA from 1 species